UACAGAGACCUCAAGCGUUAUCCGGAAUUAUUGGGCGUAAAGCGUACCGACAGGUGGUUUAUAAAGUCUUGGGUAAAAGCCGGAAGCUCAACUUCCGCGUUUGCUUAAGAUACUUAUAGACUAGAGGGGCAAAGAGGUGCUUGGAACCAACGGUGUAGUAGUGAAAUGCGUUGAUAUCGUUGGGAACACCGAAAGCGAAGGCAGAGCACUGGGUGCCACCUGACACUGCUAGGACGAAAGCGUGGGGGAGCGAAAUGGG
rnacentral:rRNA from 1 species